rnacentral:rRNA from 1 species
UACAGAGGGUGCAAGCGUUAAUCGGAAUUACUGGGCGUAAAGCGUGCGUAGACGGUUAUGUAAGUCGGGUGUGAAAGCCCCGGGCUCAACCUGGGAAUUGCAUUCGAGACUGUGUAGCUAGGGUACGGAAGAGGGAAGCGGAAUUUCAGGUGUAGCGGUGAAAUGCGUAGAUAUCUGAAGGAACACCUGUGGCGAAAGCGGCUCACUGGACCACAACUGACGCUGAGGCGCGAAAGCUAGGGGAGCAAACAGG